rnacentral:lncRNA from 1 species
CAAGUGAGAAAGAGAGAGCGUAAAUCGAUUUUAGGUGCAUUAAGAGCUUCAAAUUGGUUGUUCAUGGUGGUUGGGGUAUUGAUCACAAUGGCAAUCUUGUAAUUACUUGAUGAUGAGGGUGAGAGAGUAAAAAUAUCAUUUUCGGAAAAAAAAAAUAACAAAAAUGUGAUGGUAUUUUCGUGAAUAUCAUGAACUUGUGGGGGUGAAUAGGGCAAAAGAAAAAUCCAAGAAAAGCAUGGGUUAGUUUUAGGUUUGACUUUGAGUUUUGAGUCAAUCUUGCAAAAAGCCAAAAAACUAAGCCAUAACUAAAUUCUUCGUAUUCUUCUUCUUUUUCUUCUUCUUGUCGAUCCAGACGUCCACCACACAGUUCUUCCACAAAAAGAGAUGGUUGAGCGAUUUACCUGUAACUUUUGCAGUAAAAUUCCACCCUUCAGCAUCUGUGAUCACCAUUGUAGUGAACUCACAACGCUUCCUGCAGAAAAUAUCAAAACAAAAAAAAACGACCAUGACUAAACUAAGAGUAUGGUACACAGAACUCGACAGUGAUUAAUGGACAUUACGCAUCAGAUUGCAGUGACAUCUUAAUUAAGAUCAUGAAGCUAGGAGUAAAGCAAGAAAUUCACAUAGCUUUUCUCAAUCAAAAUUGAAAUCUUUUUAGUAAUCUAAAAACACAUCAUAAUCACUCUUAUAUAUGAUUUAACUUCAGAGAGUGAGAGACAGAGAGGUGACCAGUGGUGAUUUAUUCUGGCUGGAACAAAGAACACACGGUUCUGAGAAGCGAUAUGGUGGUGACGAGCGAUGGUGGUGGUCGUGACGAGCGAUGUGGUGGUGGUGGUGGUUGUGACGAGCGACGGUGUCAAAAAGAGGGUGGUCGUGAGGCUUCAAUCGACCUUCUCUAUUCUCUCCGUCUC